rnacentral:rRNA from 1 species
GACGAACGCUGGCGGCGUGCUUAACACAUGCAAGUCGAACGGAAAGGCCUCUUUCGGGUGGUACUCGAGUGGCGAACGGGUGAGUAACACGUGAGUAACCUGCCCUUGACUUUGGGGUAACUUCAGGAAACUGGGGCUAAUACCGGAUAGGAGCUCCUGCUGCAUGGUGGGGGUUGGAAAGUUUCGGCGGUUGGGGAUGGACUCGCGGCUUAUCAGCUUGUUGGUGGGGUAGUGGCUUACCAAGGCUUUGACGGGUAGCCGGCCUGAGAGGGUGUCCGGCCAAAUUGGGACUGGGAUACGGCCCAGAAUCCUACGGGAGGCAGGAGUGGGGAAUAUUGCACAAUGGGUGGAAGCCUGAUGCAGCAACGCCGUGUGCGGGAUGACGGCCUUCGGGUUGUAAACCGCUUUCGCUCAUGACGAAGCUUUGUGUGACGGUAGUGGGUAAAGAAGCACCGGCUAACUACGUG